UGGGAACCUUCCCUAUGGUUCGGAAUAGCUCAGGGAAACUAGGGGUAAUACCGGAUAAGCCCUUCGAGGGAAAGAUUUAUCGCCAUUGGACGGGCCCGCGUCGGAUUAGCUAGUUGGUGAGGUAACGGCUCACCAAGGCGACGAUCCGUAGCUGGUCUGAGAGGAUAAUCAGCCACACUGGGACUGAGACACGGCCCAGACUCCUACGGGAGGCAG
rnacentral:rRNA from 1 species